rnacentral:rRNA from 1 species
AUUGAACGCUGGCGGCAUGCUUUACACAUGCAAGUCGAACGGUAACAGGCCGCAAGGUGCUGACGAGUGGCGAACGGGUGAGUAAUGCAUCGGAACGUGCCCAGUCGUGGGGGAUAACGCAGCGAAAGCUGUGCUAAUACCGCAUACGAUCUAUGGAUGAAAGCGGGGGACAGUAAGGCCUCGCGCGAUUGGAGCGGCUGAUGUCAGAUUAGGUAGUUGGUGGGGUAAAGGCUGACCAAGCCAACGAUCUGUAGCUGGUCUGAGAGGACGACCAGCCACACUGGGACUGAGACACGGCCCAGACUCCUACGGGAGGCAGCAGUGGGGAAUUUUGGACAAUGGGCGCAAGCCUGAUCCAGCAAUGCCGCGUGCAGGAAGAAGGCCUUCGGGUUGUAAACUGCUUUUGUACGGAACGAAACGGUCUGGGUUAAUACCCUGGGCUAAUGACGGUACCGUAAGAAUAAGCACCGGCUAACUACGUGCCAGCAGCCGCCGUAAAAC